UCCCUCAUUGCUGUUGAGCUGUUGCUUUUGAGGGACAUCUUCAUGCCACUGUCCCCAAGUGGAGUCUUUAUUUACAGUUUCAGGAGUGAGGCUAAAGCCAGAAAUGUGUGACCUUUUGGCCUCCUACCGGAAAGGUCACCACCUAGCCGGGUUUAGCAAAUGCUGGUGAAAAGAAAGGGCGAGAUCACCAAGAUUUUCCAGGGCUACUGUAUUGCUGUUUCCGUUUUAAUUUGCUUCCACUUACUAAGAAGCUUCAAAUCUAACUCCACACUGGACCAAGGAUUUUAUACCAUCACCUGUGAUGUGGAAUAUUUUAAAUAUGAUGUUCAAGGCAACAGUGCAUAAUACUUGAGGAAAAAGCAAUGAAAGGUUAUUGCUGUUGUCAUUUGCCUAGAAUUUAACAGUGAUUGGCUCAAAAAUUAGACAUAGAUUGAAAUCAUCUGAGAAGAGAACUUCUGAAUAAUUUCAUUCAUUUCGUUAUUUGAUAGAGUGAUCCCUGGGCCAGGAGGAGAACAGGACAGACGGGAGACAACAAUUGAAAGACUUUGGAGACAGAGCUGGUGCUUACAGAGGCCUGUCACUCCUGUGGUCACUUACAAUUUCCCGCAACAAAAGGACUUCUGUGGCAAGGAGAGGAUUAGUCUAAAGUUUAGAAAAGUCUCCAGGGAAGGUGGUUUCUUGGAUAAAGUUGUCAACAAAAGGAGUCUUGCUUAAGACUCUUUGUUAUGAUUUCUUGGGGGCGCUUCUUCCUUCACUAACUGGAUUGUCAAAACACAUUACCACCCCAUCCCAGCCAGAUUUUGGGAGUUUGGAUUGAGCUGCUGGUUAGAAUUAAAUUUCAGGCUGUCUCCUUCUACUGAAUCCUAAUUGUCUGUGAUGACAGCAAAAGUGAUGAGUAAUCUCAGCUCUGAUUUGAUGGCAGAGAUACUGAAUAGAUAGAUAAGAGCAAAGAGUUCCAAAGCUGUAAUUCAAGUCCUGUUGCACCAUGAGAUACACAUGCUUGUGUGCACACACAUAAGCCUCAAAUAAAAUGAGAGAUCUGUCUCGGCUAA